rnacentral:rRNA from 1 species
UUACCUACGGGUGGCUGCAGUGAGGAAUAUUGCACAAUGGGCGAAAGCCUGAUGCAGCAACGCCGCGUGAGGGACGAAGGCCUUCGGGUCGUAAACCUCUUUUCUGGGGGACGAGUAAGGACGGUACUCCAGGAAUAAGUCUCGGCUAACUACGUGCCAGCAGCCGCGGUAAAACGUAGGAGGCGAGCGUUAUCCGGAUUUACUGGGCGUAAAGCGUACGCAGGUGGCUUCGUUAGUCGGACAUGAAAGCUCCUGGCUUAACUGGGAGAGGUUGUUCGAUACUGCGGGGCUUGAGGUUGGGAGAGGGACGUGGAAUUCCCGGUGUAGUGGUGGAAUGCGUAGAUAUCGGGAGGAACACCAGUGGCGCAAGCGGCGUCCUGGCCCACACCUGACGCUGAGGUACGAAAGCGUGGGUAGCAAACAGGAUUAGAUACCCGGGUAGUCA